GUCACUCACUCUCUCUCCCUCUCUCCCUCUCUCUCUCUCUCUCUCUCUCUCUUUCUCUCUCACCUUCCCUUUUACUUACCCAGUUGGAGCUGCAGCUGGGGACAAAGCCCAACUGUUUCCUCAGGAGCAGGGGGUCAUACUAAGGUCACUUGGCUUUUAGGCAAGAGUUUGGACAGUUCUUCAAAGGGAUGUUUAUUUCAUUAGGUGUUUCCAUAAUGCGGCAGUCUUCCUCUGCACAAGUGUUACUGCAGUCAUGGAUGUGGCCUGACUUAGAUGACCUUUUCUUGAUACCAGCUUCUGUUCUAGGUAGCCCCUCCAAGGCCUCAACAGGAUUCCCCCAACUCCAACUGAUCAAGAUAUCACUUCCUCCAAUAGACAUAUAAAUUGCUACAAUCAAGCCUCUUGCUGGAUCCACCGGUGCUGAUUUCUUUCCAGUUUUAUUCUUUCUUUCUCUUUCUACAUUUUCAUUACACAUUUUGUAAAGUGUUAUUUUUAUGCAUUUACAUUGCUAAAUUUCUAUAGAUAACAAUAACCAAAAUGGCUACAUACUUCCUUUCCAUUCCAAAUUGUUCCCAAUAAACCGUACAUAUCACUGAUCUUUCAGUGUCAUUUCAAUCUAAUCUACCCCAAGGGAUCCAUUAACAAGAACCCCAGUUAUCCUCACCUUCUGGGAUGUGUCACAGCAGAUGCCUAUGUCAGAAACCCUCUGAAAAGGAUGGUGACUUGGGAGAUUUAGCCUUUUAUUACAAAAGUGAACAAUGGUAAUGACUUUGAGGAUGUUUUUUUGUAUUUUAAGAGUUGAACCAGAACCAUUAAAUGUUUCUCUGUGGUAAUUAAAAAUUCAUAUAAGCAAAUUUUCCCACAGAGUUUUUCUAGUAGGCAACAUCUGAAAACAUCUACCCAUGUUCUGGUGGAAAAAGAAAUAUUUAGCAACUUCGUUGGAUUUAAGACUUGUUCUGAUUUUAUAGGAAAAAAACAUUUGGUUUUUAUUCAAAAGUUUAAUGGGCAACUCAGAAUUCUGAUUGUGUGCAUAUCAUCUGGACUUGAUUUUAUGAUGAGAUCAGAAAAAAUAAAUUUUAGACUGUUUGA